rnacentral:tRNA from 1 species
GUGAGUAUGCCGUAAUAUAGGUAGCCGGGUGAAUCUUAGGCAUUCAUGAGUUUUCUCAUAAGAGUUCAAAUCUCUUUACUUGCA